UGCGCAGGCGGUUGUGUAAGACAGGUGUGAAAUCCCCGGGCUUAACCUGGGAAUGGCAUUUGUGACUGCACGGCUAGAGUGUGUCAGAGGGGGGUAGAAUUCCACGUGUAGCAGUGAAAUGCGUAGAGAUGUGGAGGAAUACCGAUGGCGAAGGCAGCCCCCUGGGAUAACACUGACGCUCAUGCACGAAAGCUGGGAGCAAACA
rnacentral:rRNA from 1 species